rnacentral:rRNA from 1 species
AACGAACGCUGGCGGCAUGCCUAACACAUGCAAGUCGAACGAGACCUUCGGGUCUAGUGGCGCACGGGUGCGUAACGCGUGGGAACCUGCCCUUAGGCUCGGAAUAACUCCCCGAAAGGGGUGCUAAUACCGGAUAAUGUCUUCGGACCAAAGAUUUAUCGCCUUUGGAUGGGCCCGCGUUGGAUUAGCUAGUUGGUAGGGUAAAAGCCUACCAAGGCGACGAUCCAUAGCUGGUCUGAGAGGAUGAUCAGCCACACUGGAACUGAGACACGGCCCAGACUCCUACGGGAGGCAGCAGUGGGGAAUAUUGGACAAUGGGCGAAAGCCUGAUCCAGCAAUGCCGCGUGAGUGAUGAAGGCCUUAGGGUUGUAAAGCUCUUUUACCCGGGAUGAUAAUGACAGUACCGGGAGAAUAAGCUCCGGCUAACUCCGUG